AAAACUUGAAAGAGUGAGGCUGUCGGGAUAUUUUGGGAGUAUAUCUGAAUUGGAAUUUGUAUUCUACGUUUUUAAUAAUGCUACGAAUUUGAAAGAGUUGAUUGUCGACAAAAAUCAUGCAGCUCAACCAAAUCAAAUAGCUCCUGCAUUUCAAAAGCUUCUAGUUAUGUUGAUUUCAUCAUAUUCUAGAUUUGUAUUUGUACUUUUAAUUUUAUUUUCAC
rnacentral:lncRNA from 1 species